GAGGAGUUUGAAUCCUCCCGUGGUUGUAAGAUUGGUUGUUUAGAUCCUGCCAGAGCUUUUUACCGUGUGUGCAGUUCUGGCGGGUCGCCGGUUUAUAAGCUUUUUGUGUGUGUGUGUGUGUGUGUGUGUGUGUGUGUGUGUGGUUUGGCGAACUGAAGAGCUGACGGUUUCCCGGUUUUACAACUGUUUAACUUGCUACUGGUCGUUCACAUCAAUGAUGUAAUGAUGACAAAACCUUCAUACAAACUCGAUGUUUUAAUACCGUCGAUCUGUAUUCAGCUGUUCUCAGGUCGGCUGCAGACAUUUAUCCUCUUUUACAUUUUUCCAGACUCCAGUUUG